rnacentral:rRNA from 1 species
AACGAACGCUGGCGGCAGGCUUAACACAUGCAAGUCGAACGCCCCGCAAGGGGAGUGGCAGACGGGUGAGUAACGCGUGGGAACAUACCCUUUUCUACGGAAUAGCUCUGGGAAACUGGAAUUAAUACCGUAUACGCCCUACGGGGGAAAGAUUUAUCGGGGAAGGAUUGGCCCGCGUUGGAUUAGCUAGUUGGUGGGGUAAAGGCCUACCAAGGCGACGAUCUAUAGCUGGUCUGAGAGGAUGAUCAGCCACAUUGGGACUGAGACACGGCCCAAACUCCUACGGGAGGCAGCAGUGGGGAAUAUUGGACAAUGGGCGCAAGCCUGAUCCAGCCAUGCCGCGUGAGUGAUGAAGGCCUUAGGGUUGUAAAGCUCUUUCACCGAUGAAGAUAAUGACGGUAGUCGGAGAAGAAGCCCCGGCUAACUUCGUG